AGUGAGUGUUGACAUCUGUCCUAACUCACUUCCCUAAACCACCCUCAGCCUUCUCCAGCAAGAUCCAGCGUGAGGACAUGAAGCUGUUUCCUAACAGUGAGGGCCUUGUACACACUAGGCAACUAGCGAACAUUCACUGACAGAUUAUAACACAGAGAAGGGGUGGAGAACAUCCAACAUGGGGAUUCUGGGUGCACUUGUAAGAUGUUUCUGCAGUGCCACUCUCACCCUUCACUCGUCCACUCAGGUACUGUCUGCAUUGUCAACUUCAAUUCUUGGGGUGGUUUUACAAGAAGGAACUGGAAGCAGACUCGGCUAUCAAUGAACUUUCAUCUCAAGGAGCCAAAACAGAGGCUGGAGGAAUGACUCAGUGGUUAAGAGCCCUGGCUUGCUCUUCCAGAGAACCCUGGGGUCAAGUUCAAUUCUUAGCCACUAAGGACAGCUUACAGCUGUCUGCAAUUCCUGUACCCUCUCUUCUGGCUUCUGUGGGCACCACAUAUAAGUGGUGCAAAGACAUACACAUGACAAACACCUAAAAUAAUAAAAUAUGCUAUUUCUUUUCAAAGCAGAAGCAAGCACAGAGUGAGAAGCUAUCAUAUAGAAAGGAAGUAUAAGAUCCUGGAGUCCAGAGGGUGGGUAAAGAUAGAGCUAGAAGCCCCUGGGGUCUCCUUAAGGAGGGGGUCCAUGGGCUUGAUAUUCGUUAAGGUCACUGUUACACAGCCAUUCUGCUGUGGAUUGGAAAGAAACACUCGGGCACUGAAAGCUUGACACCCCAGCAUGCUGGUCCUGUUGAGAGACAUGGAUCAUGAGUAUGCUAACUUCAUCAGUGGAUUAGUCUUCUCAAGGUGUCAGAGCUGAAUGGGCUGUUAGGAGGUAGAACCUGAUUGGAAGUGGGGUUUUAAAGGGUAUAGUUUGUAUCUGGCCUCUUCCUUUCUCUUUUUCUUUUUCUCUUUGUCUCUGUCUCUCUUUUUCUUUCUCUUUCUGUUUCUCUGUUUUAUUCUCUCUCUCUCCUAUGAUGGCGUGAGUUACUAUCUCCAUCACUUGCUUCCUGCCAGAAUGUUCUGCCUCACCCAAUAGCAAUGGACC
ensembl:processed_transcript B430010I23Rik RIKEN cDNA B430010I23 gene